GACGAACGCUGGCGGCGUGCUUAACACAUGCAAGUCGAACGAUGAAGAAGAGACACGCGAACUUCGGUUCAAAUUUCACUUCGGAUUAGUGGCAGACGGGUGAGUAACGCGCGAGCAACCUACCUCUUACAAAGGGAUAGCCUCGGGAAACCGUGAUUAAUACCAUAUGACACAUUCAUAAGGCAUCUUAAGAAUGUUAAAGCUACGGCGGUAAGAGAUGGGCUCGCGUCCCAUUAGCUAGUUGGUGAGGUAACGGCCCACCAAGGCGACGAUGGGUAACCGGCCUGAGAGGGUGAACGGUCACAUUGGAACUGAGACACGGUCCAAACUCCUACGGGAGGCAGCAGUGGGGAAUAUUGCACAAUGGAGGGAACUCUGAUGCAGCGACGCCGCGUGAGCGAUGAAGGAAUUCGUGUCGUAAAGCUCUGUUCUAUGGGAAGAAAAGGACUGUACCAUAGGAGAAAGCCCCGGCUAAAUACGUG
rnacentral:rRNA from 1 species